rnacentral:rRNA from 1 species
UAGGGAAUCUUCGGCAAUGGGGGGAACCCUGACCGAGCAACGCCGCGUGAGUGAAGAAGGUUUUCGGAUCGUAAAGCUCUGUUGUUAAGGAAGAACGAGUGUGAGAAUGGAAAGUUCAUACUGUGACGGUACUUAACCAGAAAGGGACGGCUAACUACGUGCCAGCAGCCGCGGUAAUACGUAGGUCCCGAGCGUUGUCCGGAUUUAUUGGGCGUAAAGCGAGCGCAGGCGGUUAGAUAAGUCUGAAGUUAAAGGCAGUGGCUCAACCAUUGUAGGCUUUGGAAACUGUUUAACUUGAGUGCAGAAGGGGAGAGUGGAAUUCCAUGUGUAGCGGUGUAAUGCGUAGAUAUAUGGAGGAACACCGGUGGCGAAAGCGGCUCUCUGGUCUGUAACUGACGCUGAGGCUCGAAAGCGUGGGGAGCGAACAGG